rnacentral:rRNA from 1 species
CCCAGUCCAGAAUUUUUGUCAAUGCUGGAAAGAGUGAACAAGCUAAGAGAAAUCACUUGACUCAUUGUAAUAGGUGGUGAAUGUGAUAAGGUGUAGGGAUUUUUUUGAUAUUACCUCACUAAAAGUGUUGUCCAAAUCUGGUGCCAGAAGACUCGGUAAGACCAGAAAGGCAAACGUUAGUCAUGUUAAUCUGGCGUAAAGGGUAAGUAGGCAGCUUUGUAAAAUUUUAAUUUUAAAUUUUUUUUUUUCUUUUCUAGAAAAAAGAGUAGCUGUAUUUUGUACAUAAAUUAAAUAGUAAAAAUAAAWUCAAUU